AAACCUUUUCACAUUCUUGUCGAUUACGUUAUCGUUUUGAUUGAUCCGAAAGUUUCUUGUGAUUGUGUGACUCGAUCUGUUGUUAGAAUCAUAGAUCAGGAUUUGAUUAUCUCAUUUCAUCAUCCGUUGAAUCUGCUCUGUUAUUGUUUCAUUUUCGAAAAGAUUGAAUUCAAAUCGUCGCGUGUUGAUCAAGUAUCUUCAUUUGCCGCUUUGUUUGAAUACUUUGUUUCCUUAUUUGAAUCUUGAGUUCUGAAUUCUUUUGAACUACUUACUGGUUCAAGUUUUUCGUGUAUCAGGAAGCAAUGGGGUCUGAGGAGGAUGAUGAAACCUUUGUGCGAAGGAAUAGAUUGCUGCAAGAAGCAAUCACCAAACAAGUGAUGGAAGCGAUGGUGAAGUUACUGGAAGAGAAGUAUGGAGGAUGAUGAAACCUUUGUGCGAAGGAAUAGAUUGCUGCAAGAAGCAAUCACCAAACAAGUGAUGGAAGCGAUGGUGAAGUUACUGGAAGAGAAGUAUGAUCAGAGACCGCAUGAUGGGCAAGGACAAGCAUCUGGUUCAAGACAUGAGCCAAGAAGAAACAGACAAGGUCAGCGUGAGCAUGCUGGAUCAGAAGAGACU
rnacentral:lncRNA from 1 species